rnacentral:tRNA from 1 species
UUUUUGGUGGCCGACACAUUUUAGGCGACAGACUGUAAAUCUGUUCACGGAGAACCUCCCCAGAGAA